rnacentral:rRNA from 1 species
AACGAACGCUGGCGGCAUGCCUAACACAUGCAAGUCGAACGAGACCUUCGGGUCUAGUGGCGCACGGGUGCGUAACGCGUGGGAAUCUACCCUCAGGUUCGGAAUAACUCAGAGAAAUUUGAGCUAAUACCGGAUGAUGACUUAAGUCCAAAGAUUUAUCGCCUGAGGAUGAGCCCGCUUAGGAUUAGGUAGUUGGUGAGGUAAAGGCUCACCAAGCCGACGAUCCUUAGCUGGUCUGAGAGGAUGAUCAGCCACACUGGGACUGAGACACGGCCCAGACUCCUACGGGAGGCAGCAGUGGGGAAUAUUGGACAAUGGGCGGAAGCCUGAUCCAGCAAUGCCGCGUGAGUGAUGAAGGCCUUAGGGUUGUAAAGCUCUUUUACCCGGGAUGAUAAUGACAGUACCGGGAGAAUAAGCUCCGGCUAACUCCGUG